AGGGUAAUAGCUCAGUGGUAGAGCACAUGCUUAGCAUACACAAGGUCCUGGGUUCAAACCCAAGUAUCUCCA
rnacentral:tRNA from 1 species